rnacentral:rRNA from 1 species
AUUGAACGCUGGCGGCAGGCCUAACACAUGCAAGUCGAGCGGAUGAAGGGAGCUUGCUCCUGGAUCAGCGGCGGACGGGUGAGUAAUGCCUAGGAAUCUGCCUGGUAGUGGGGGAUAACGUCCGGAAACGGGCGCUAAUACCGCAUACGUCCUGAGGGAGGAAGGGGGGGAUCUUCGGACCUCACGCUAUCAGAUGAGCCUAGGUCGGAUUAGCUAGUUGGUGGGGUAAAGGCCUACCAAGGCGACGAUCCGUAACUGGUCUGAGAGGAUGAUCAGUCACACUGGAACUGAGACACGGUCCAGACUCCUACGGGAGGCAGCAGUGGGGAAUAUUGGACAAUGGGCGAAAGCCUGAUCCAGCCAUGCCGCGUGUGUGAAGAAGGUCUUCGGAUUGUAAAGCACUUUAAGUUGGGAGGAAGGGCAGUAAGUUAAUACCUUGCUGUUUUGACGUUACCAACAGAAUAAGCACCGGCUAACUUCGUG